rnacentral:rRNA from 1 species
AGUGAACGCUGGCGGUAGGCCUAACACAUGCAAGUCGAACGGCAGCACAGUAAGAGCUUGCUCUUACGGGUGGCGAGUGGCGGACGGGUGAGGAAUACAUCGGAAUCUACUUUUUCGUGGGGGAUAACGUAGGGAAACUUACGCUAAUACCGCAUACGACCUACGGGUGAAAGCAGGGGAUCUUCGGACCUUGCGCGAUUGAAUGAGCCGAUGUCGGAUUAGCUAGUUGGCGGGGUAAAGGCCCACCAAGGCGACGAUCCGUAGCUGGUCUGAGAGGAUGAUAAGACACACUGGAACUGAGACACGGUCCAGACUCCUACGGGAGGCAGCAGUGGGGAAUAUUGGACAAUGGGCGCAAGCCUGAUCCAGCCAUACCGCGUGGGUGAAGAAGGCCUUCGGGUUGUAAAGCCCUUUUGUUGGGAAAGAAAAGCAGCAGGUUAAUACCCCGCUGUUCUGACGGUACCCAAAGAAUAAGCACCGGCUAACUUCGUG